AUGCUGUGGUGGGGAUAGGCCAAGAUGUAUUCCUACAGCCUUUCCCAAGCUUCCAGGAUGGAUUCCAUUCCUUUUUGCUGGAAACUUGAUAUCUUCCCACGCAG